rnacentral:tmRNA from 1 species
GGGCUUGACUGGUUUUGACAGCGGGCAGAAGUGGUUUGCAAGCAUGCAGUGCGUCGUUGUUCGGCACUAUAAUCUCGGAUGAUAACAAUUAAUUGGCGAAAAUACUUACGCUCUCGCUGCUUGAUCGAAGUAUAGUAGAUCAUAAGCUUCAUUCCGGUUCAAGGAAUCGGAACGAGACGUCACCCGGAAGCUGUGGCUUCGAAGCAAUCCGAACCGGUGGCGCAGGAAUAUCGGAGAUAGUUGCGAAGGAUGUCCCGUCUUUCGGAUGAAAUUCAGGGAAUAAGCUUGAUAAUCGGUAGCCUUAGCCUCAUAUCAAGUCGAAAACAAAAGUAAGGAUAAGCAUGUAGAAAACAAAUUAAUUCCCCGUUUGGACGAGGGUUCGAAUCCCUCCAAGUCCACAA